rnacentral:rRNA from 1 species
GAUGAACGCUGGCGGCGUGCCUAAUACAUGCAAGUCGAGCGAACGGACGAGAAGCUUGCUUCUCUGAUGUUAGCGGCGGACGGGUGAGUAACACGUGGAUAACCUACCUAUAAGACUGGGAUAACUUCGGGAAACUGUAGCUAAUACCGGAUAAUAUUUUGAACCGCAUGGUUCAAAAGUGAAAGACGGUCUUGCUGUCACUUAUAGAUGGGUCCGCGCUGCAUUAGCUAGUUGGUAAGGUAACGGCUUACCAAGGCAACGAUGCAUAGCCGACCUGAGAGGGUGAUCGGCCACACUGGAACUGAGACACGGUCCAGACUCCUACGGGAGGCAGCAGUAGGGAAUCUUCCGCAAAGGGCGAAAGCCUGACGGAGCAACGCCGCGUGAGUGAUGAAGGUCUUCGGAUCGUAAAACUCUGUUAUUAGGGAAGAACAUAUGUGUAAGUAACUGUGCACAUCUUGACGGUACCUAAUCAGAAAGCCACGGCUAACUACGUG